CCGCUCCCUCGUAUCCCGACAGCUUUCUCUUCUAUCGUUGCCCUGCUCUCCCUUCUUCGAUCAGUGUCUUCUUCGCCGGAUCUUGGCUGAGGCCUCUCCACAAUCGGAGCCAUAUUAUUGGUUGAUAGAGAGACGAAGCAUGAGAAAGUACCAUUGAGGUCUCAGUCCAACUCGAGAAAGAAAAAGAAGCAGCUCUUAUGGAGGCAGGGCAGAAAGCAAGGAAUUGGCUUCCAUGCUGGAGUAGAAUCGAGGGAGGCAUUCACAAGGAAACGAAGGAAGCGAGGAGAAGAAAGAAGAUGGAAAAAGACGAAGAAGAAAAGGUGAAGGAUGAAGUGUUGGGGUAAUUACUGGAAUUGAAAUUGAAUUAGGAUUUGAAACUGUCUUUUCUAAAGAAACAACGAAACCAGAGGUGAAGAAAGCACGGCACGGUGGCAAGUAGUGAAAGUUGCUCGAAAAAGACUAAACCAUUAGGAUCCACCAAACCUGUUG